GAAGCCGGCCGGGCGAUCACCGUGUCCAGAAUGGGGACAGGGAGGAAAGUCCGGGCUCCAGAGAGCAGGGUGCUGGGUAACGCCCAGACGCAGGAGCCGGGGGGCAACUCCCGGCAAAGGCGAUGAACAGGGCAACAGAAAGUACACCGCCGAUGGCCGUCCGGGCCUUGCGGCGCGCGCGUAAGCGCGACGCCGCAAAGUCUCGUUACUUGAAGAGCAGGUGCGCUGAAAGGCGCAUGAAGGUGCGUCGAAGGACACAUCAGCUUGCAUGUCUUCGGACAUGCAACUGCCGAUCAAGGGCGUAAAAGGACGGGCGCGCAAGCGCCCAAUCCGACGCUUAGGCGUCGGAUUGGCACAGGCAAGGGUGAAAUGGUGCGGUAAGAGCGCACCGCAGACGUGGGAACACGGCUGGCACGGUAACCUCCACCCGGAGCAACACCAAAUAGGCGGACGAUGACGCUGCUCGCCGAGUCCGCGGGUAGGUGGCUUGAGCCUGCGGGCAACCGCAGGCCUAGAGGAAUGAUCGCUGCGCGGCAGGCCGCAAGGCUUGCCUCGACAGAACCCGGCUUACAGGCCGGCUUCACGU
rnacentral:RNase_P_RNA from 1 species